rnacentral:rRNA from 1 species
GUCGGGAAAGAUUUCAUCGGUAUGGGAUGGGGUCGCGUCCUAUCAGGUAGUCGGCGGGGUAACGGCCCACCGAGCCUACGACGGGUAGCCGGCCUGAGAGGGCGACCGGCCACAUUGGGACUGAGAUACGGCCCAGACUCCUACGGGAGGCAGCAGUGGGGAAUAUUGCACAAUGGGCGCAAGCCUGAUGCAGCGACGCCGCGUGCGGGAUGACGGCCUUCGGGUUGUAAACCGCUUUUGAUCGGGAGCAAGCCUUCGGGUGAGUGUACCUUUCGAAUAAGCACCGG